GCCCUGAUAGUAUAAACAUUACACUGGUCUUGUAAACC
rnacentral:tRNA from 1 species